rfam:Lentisphaera araneosa HTCC2155 1101329224559, whole genome shotgun sequence.
GGACAAGCUAGUAAGGGUGUAUGAUGAAUGCCUUGGCACUAACAGGCGAUGAAGGACGCGUUAAGCUGCGAAAAUCCUCGGGGAGCUGCAAAAGAGCUUUGAUCCGGGGGUAUCCGAAUGGGGAAACCCAACUGGAGUUAUGUCCAGUUAUCCCUGACUGAAUAAAUAGGUCAGGGAGGCGAACCUAGGGAAGUGAAACAUCUCAGUACCUAGAGGAAAAGAAAUCAACCGAGAUUGCGCUAGUAGCGGCGAGCGAACGCGCAAGAGCCUAAACCUAAAAGCAUGCUUUUAGGGGUUGCGGGACCUGCAACAUUGUAUUGAAGAGAUAGCUGAAUAGUUUUGGAAAAUCCAACCACAGAGGGUGAUAGUCCCGUAAGCGAAAUUUCUUUAAUAUAUAGCGGGUAUCCCAAGUAGGGCCGGACACGUGAAACCCGGUCUGAAUCAGGGAGGGCCACCUUCCAAGGCUAAAUACUCGUUAGUGACCGAUAGUGAACCAGUACCGUGAGGGAAAGGCGAAAAGAACCCCGUAAGGGGAGUGAAAUAGAACCUGAAAUCAUACAUCUACAAAGUGUGGGUCAUCUUUAUAUGAUGUACCGCAUGCCUUUUGCAUAAUGAGUCUGCGACUUACUGUAUACGGCAAGGUUAAGUUAUUAAACGGAGCCGAAGCGAAAGCGAGUACGAAUAGUGCGAUUUAAGUCGUAUGCAGUAGACCCGAAACUGAGUGAUCUAUCCAUGAGCAGGUUGAAGCCCGAGUAACAUCGGGUGGAGGACCGAACCAUUGCGUGCUGAAAAACGCUUGGAUGACUUGUGGAUAGGGGUGAAAGGCCAAUCAAACUCAGUGAUAGCUGGUUCUCUCCGAAAUAGCUUUAGGGCUAGCCUUGAGUGCUUCUUUACGGGGGUAGAGCUACUGAUUUUUCGCGGGCCCUUACCGGGGUACCAACAAAUAUCAAACUCCGAAUACCGUAAAUUUAUGAGCUCAGGAGUCAGUCUAUGUGGGACAAGCCGCAUAGACAAAAGGGAAACAGCCCAGAUCGCCGUCUAAGGCCCCCAAGAUGGGCUAAGUGGAAUUAAGGAUGUGGAGUUGCUUGGACAAUCAGGAUGUUGGCUUAGAGGCAGCCACCAUUUAAAGAGUGCGUAAUAGCUCACUGAUCGAGUGAUUCUGCGCCGAAAAUAAUCGGGACUAAAGCCCAUUGCCGAAGACGCGACCCAGCUUGCUGGGGGUAGGAGAGCGUUCUAUGCAGGAGUGAAGCUUGAUGGAAACAACAGGUGGACCGCAUAGAAGUGAGAAUGCAGACAUAAGUAACGAAAAACCGGGUGUGAAUCCCGGUCACCGAAAUCCGAAGGUUUCCUGGGCAAGGUUCGUCCCCCCAGGGUUAGUCGGACCCUAAGGCGAGGCCCAACGGCGUAGUCGAUGGACAACAGGUUAAUAUUCCUGUACUAGCUAAGUGUAGUGAUGAAGGGACGCGGAAGGAAAAUGUUAAUGACUGAUGGAUUAGUCAUACCAAGCAGGCAAUUCGUAGAGUAGGAAAAUCCGCUUUACAUAAGAACCAACUGUGAUGGGGCGAAGAAACCCUCGGGUGGAACCGUCUAACAUGGAACCAUGCUGCCAAGAAAAGCUUCUAAGCGUCUGAUGCUUAGUUAUCCGUACUAAAACCGACACAGGUAGGAAGGUCGAGUAGACUAAGGUGCGCGAGAGAAACCACGUUAAGGAACUCGGCAAAUUAGCCCCGUAACUUCGGGAGAAGGGGUGCCCCCUCAGGGGGGCCGCAGUUAAGAGGUCUGGGCGACUGUUUAGCAAAAACAUAGCACUCUGCAAACUCGAAAGAGGAAGUAUAGGGUGUGACACGUGACCAAUGCCAAAAGGUCAAAUGGAGAGGUUAGCCUUCGGGCGAAGCUUCGAAAUGAAGCCCUGGUGAAUGUCGGCCGUAACUAUAACGGUCCUAAGGUAGCGAAAUUCCUUGUCGGGUAAGUUCCGACCUGCACGAAUCGUGUAACGAUCCAGACACUGUCUCAACGUGGAUCUCGGUGAAAUUGUAGUUCCGGUGAAAAUGCCGGAUACCCGCAGAUGGACGGAAAGACCCCAUGAACCUUUACUGUAAUCUGAUAUUGUUGUUCGGACUAAUAUGUGUAGCAUAAGUGGGAGACUGUGAACUUGCGUCGUCAGGCGUUUGUGAGUCGUCAGUGAAAUACCACCCUUAUUAGUUUGGGCAUCUAACCCCACGUCCGUGAAUCCGGAUGGGGGACAGUUUCAGAGGGUCAGUUUGACUGGGGCGGUUUCCUCCUAAAAUGUAACGGAGGAGCUCGAAGGUCUACUCAGCAUGGUCAGCAAUCAUGCGUAGAGCGUAAGGGUAGAAGUAGGCUUUACUGUAACACCGACAGGUGGAGCAGUUGCGAAAGCAGGACCUAGUGAUCCAGCGGUGGAAAGUGGUAUCGCCGUUGCUCAUCGGAUAAAAGGUACUCUGGGGAUAACAGGCUUAUCGCACCCAAGCGUCCAUAGCGACGGUGCGGUUUGGCACCUCGAUGUCGGCUCAUCACAUCCUGGGGCUGAAGAAGGUCCCAAGGGUCCGGCUGUUCGCCGGUUAAAGUGGUACGCGAGCUGGGUUCAGAACGUCGUGAGACAGUUCGGUCCUUAUCCUCUGCGGGCGUAGGAUAUUUGAUAGGAGCAUUCCCUAGUACGAGAGGACCGGGAAUGAGUGACCUCUGGUGUUCCAGUUGUACCGCCAGGUGCAUUGCUGGGUAGCUAAGUCGCGAAAGGAUAAGCGCUGAAAGCAUCUAAGCGCCAAGCCCCCCUAAAGAUGAGAUAUCCCAGGAUUUAUCCUCUAAAGGCUACAGGAAGACUACCUGUUCGAUAGGCUGGAGAUGUAAGCAUAGCAAUAUGUUCAGUUGACCAGUACUAAUCAGCCGUGAGGCUUGUCCAC